rnacentral:rRNA from 2 species
UCGGAGGGAGUGGCGCACGGGUGCGUAACGCGUGGGAACCUGCCCUUAGGUUCGGAAUAACUCAGAGAAAUUUGAGCUAAUACCGGAUAAUGUCUUCGGACCAAAGAUUUAUCGCCUUUGGAUGGGCCCGCGUUGGAUUAGAUAGUUGGUGGGGUAAUGGCCUACCAAGUCGACGAUCCAUAGCUGGUCUGAGAGGAUGAUCAGCCACACUGGGACUGAGACACGGCCCAGACUCCUACGGGAGGCAGCAGUGGGGAAUAUUGGACAAUGGGCGAAAGCCUGAUCCAGCAAUGCCGCGUGAGUGAUGAAGGCCUUAGGGUUGUAAAGCUCUUUUACCAGGGAUGAUAAUGACAGUACCUGGAGAAUAAGCUCCGGCUAACUCCGUGCCAGCAGCCGCGGUAAUACGGAGGGAGCUAGCGUUGUUCGGAAUUACUGGGCGUAAAGCGCACGUAGGCGGCUUUUCAAGUCAGGGGUGAAAUCCCGGGGCUCAACCCCGGAACUGCCCUUGAAACUGGAUGGCUAGAAUACUGGAGAGGUGAGUGGAAUUCCGAGUGUAGAGGUGAAAUUCGUAGAUAUUCGGAAGAACACCAGUGGCGAAGGCGACUCACUGGACAGUUAUUGACGCUGAG